rnacentral:lncRNA from 1 species
AGCUAGCAGAUUACUGGCCAGGACCAAGCUCAAUUCUAGAUCAACCUUAAAUUUCAUGACCCAAGCUCGGCCCAACCCAUAAAUUCAUCGACCAACAUGGUUGCAUGGCCCGGCCCAACAUGGAUCGAUCCCUAAUUCUGGUGUGAUCAUGGUUAAUAACAGUUUAAACACUGAUUUCAUGCAGCUAUAACAGCAUUAUCUCUUGAACUGCACCACAAAUAUUUCAUGGUUAUGCGACCGAAUGGCAUCGAAAUCAGCAUUUUCUCAAGUACCUGCUGGCUCAAUGGGGCCUAUGUUGGAGAUCGAGAUAUAUAAUAGACAUGUUAGAUGGUGUUCUAAGAUCAUUUAAGUAUUGGAUUGAGUGAGUCACUUGUAGAAGAAUUGCUUUUGUUGUGACAAUGGGCUAAGACCUUAUAUGAUGACAAACUUUGCGCCAAGAGAUGUGGUAAAAAUUAUUUACAUCAGCCUUCAUGGAUCGAAAGCUGGCACUGGUAUAACUGGUCCAAUCAGGUUACAAAUAGGCUUCACCUCGUCAAGCAUGAGCAGAUAUCAACUUGAGUUAGUUCAGAAGUUUUAGAAUUUUUACCUCAAAUUAGCUAAGGCCACAUUUUGCCAAAGCCUACUGAAAGACUAGAACCACUAGGAUUGAGCUUGCAUAAGGCUUGCAUUUGUUAUGCAAUGAUUUAAACCUUGCAGGCAUGAUCUAUAAGGCCGGUCUUGGGCCUCUUGGCUCAAGACUGUAUUCCAUUAUCU